CAGGUCUCAAGCAGUAGCCACCUCCAGUCUGAUACAAAGGAUUACUCCCUCCCCAGUGCCAGCUGGAGCCCCAUCAUGGUGAGGCUCUACAAUGAGUUCAUGGAGAAGACUGUGGAUGGGUCAUGGACAAGACUUCCAGGUUGUUGGUGCUCUGUGCAAUUCCUUAAAGAAGCAGACCUUACUAAGAUUGCUAAAGCUGUCCCUGCCAUCUUCUUACAAAUGAAGUGACGCAGAUGCAAGGUGCUGCAAGGCCCACCUCCUCCUGCUCUGACAGGCAGACAGGAAACCAAAGCCCCUAUCUGAGCAGCCUCUGUCUCUCCCAUUCACCUCCAGCUUCCCAUGUGGACCUUUGCCUUUUCCUUCUUGGAUGGUGGAAACUCCUCCAGAUGUCAAGACUUGCUGUGAAUAAAGUUU
rnacentral:lncRNA from 1 species